AGAGUUUGAUCCUGGCUCAGGAUGAACGCUAGCGGCAGGCUUAACACAUGCAAGUCGAGGGGCCGCAUGUCCAGCAAUGGAUGAUGGCGACCGGCGGAAGGGUGCGUAACGCGUGAGCAACAUGCCCUAUACAGGGAGAUACACCAGGGAAACUUGGUCUAAUAUCCCAUAGCAUUCAUUGAAGGCAUCUUUAAUGAAUUAAAGCUUCGGUGGUAUAGGAUUGGCUCGCGUGACAUUAGCCAGAUGGUGAGGUAACGGCUCACCAUAGCAAUGAUGUCUAGGGGUUUUGAGAGGAAGGCCCCCCACACUGGGACUGAGACACGGCCCAGACUCCUACGGGAGGCAGCAGUGAGGAAUAUUGGACAAUGGAUGGAAAUCUGAUCCAGCCAUGCCGCGUGCAGGAAGACGGCCUUAUGGGUUGUAAACUGCUUUUAUACGGGAGCAAUAAGGGUUACGAGUAAUCCGAUGAGAGUACUGUAUGAAUAAGGAUCGGCUAACUCCGUGCCAGCAGCCGCGGUAAUACGGAGGAUCCUAGCGUUAUCCGGAUUUAUUGGGUUUAAAGGGAGCGUAAGGCGGGGGUCAAGUCAGCUGUGAAAUACGUACGCUUAACGUUCGUCUUGCAGUUGAAACUGGUUUUCUUUGAGUGGCGUAUGAGGCAGGCGGGAAUUCGUGGUGUAGCGGUGAAAUGCUUAGAUAUCACGAGGAACUCCUAUUGCGAAGGCAGCUUGCUGGGUCCGCUACUGACGCUGAUGCUCGAAGGUGCGGGUAUCGAACAGGAUUAGAUACCCUGGUAGUCCACGCCGUAAACUAUGAUUACUCGUUGUUUGCGAUAUACUGUAAGCGACUGCGCGAAAGCAUUAAGUAAUCCACCUGGGGAGUACGUUGGCAACAAUGAAACUCAAAGGAAUUGACGGGGGCCCGCACAAGCGGAGGAACAUGUGGUUUAAUUCGAUGAUACGCGAGGAACCUUACCCGGGCUUAAAUGGGAAGUGACAGUUUUGGAAACAAAAUUUUCUUCGGACACUCUUCAAGGUGCUGCAUGGUUGUCGUCAGCUCGUGCCGUGAGGUGUCGGGUUAAGUCCCAUAACGAGCGCAACCCCUAUCGAUAGUUACCAGCACGUAGUGGUGGGGACUCUAUUGAGACUGCCGGUGUAAACCGUGAGGAAGGUGGGGAGGACGUCAAAUCAGCACGGCCCUUACGUCCAGGGCUACACACGUGUUACAAUGGCCGGUACAAAGGGCAGCUACUUCGUGAGAAGAUGCGAAUCCCAAAAACCAGUCUCAGUUCGGAUCGAAGUCUGCAACCCGACUUCGUGAAGCUGGAUUCGCUAGUAAUCGCGCAUCAGCCAUGGCGCGGUGAAUACGUUCCCGGGCCUUGUACACACCGCCCGUCA
rnacentral:rRNA from 1 species